rnacentral:rRNA from 1 species
CAGUCGCCGCGGUAAUACAGAGGAUGCAAGCGUUAUCCGGAAUGAUUGGGCGUAAAGUGUCUAUAGGUGGCUUUUCAAGUCCGCCGUCAAAUCCCAGGGCUCAACCGUGGACAGGCGGUGGAAACUACCAAGCUGGAGUACGGUAGGGGCAGAGGGAAUUUCCGAUGGAGCGGUGAAAUGCGUUGAGAUCGGAAAGAACACCAACGGAGAAAGCACUCUGCUGGGCCGACACUGACUCUGAGAGACGAAAUCUAGGGGAGCAAAUGGGAUUAGAUACCCCCGUAGUCCCUGUCUCUUAUAA